rnacentral:rRNA from 1 species
UACGUAGGGUCCGAGCGUUGUCCGGAAUUACUGGGCGUAAAGAGCUCGUAGGUGGUUUGUCGCGUUGUUCGUGAAAACUCACAGCUCAACUGUGGGCGUGCGGGCGAUACGGGCAGACUAGAGUACUGCAGGGGAGACUGGAAUUCCUGGUGUAGCGGUGGAAUGCGCAGAUAUCAGGAGGAACACCGGUGGCGAAGGCGGGGUCUCUGGGCAGUAACUGACGCUGGAGGAGCGAAAGCGUGGGGAGCGAACAGG